GACGGGGGAUGCAAGAGUUAUCCGGACUCACUGGGCGUAAAGCGUCUGUAGGUGGUGAUGCAAGUCACUGGUGCAAAACUCUGGCUCAACCGGAGGAAAGCCAGUGAAACUGCAUGACUAGAGUGUGGGAGAGGUAGAAGGAAUUCCCUGAGUAGCGGUGAAAUGCGUAGAUACAGGGAAGAACACCGGAGGCGAAAGCGUUCUACUGGAACACAACUGACACUGAGAGACGAAAUCUAGUGGAGCGUAUGGG
rnacentral:rRNA from 1 species